GACGAACGCUGGCGGCGCGCUUAACACAUGCAAGUCGAGCGAAGCGGCGGACGGGUGAGUAACACGUGAGUCACCUGCCUUAGACAUUGGGAUCGUCUCGGGAACCCGGGAUUAAUACCAAACGGUCUAGGAUGGACUCGCGUCCCAUUACCUAGUUGGUGAGGUACCGGCCCACCCAGGCGACGAUGGGUAGCCGGCCUGAGAGGGUGAACGGCAACAUUGGAACUGAGAAACGGUCCAAACUCUACGGGAGGGAGCAGUGGGGAAUAUUGCACAAGGGAGGGAACGCUGAUGCAGCUACGCCGCGUGAACGAAGAAGGCUUUCGAGUCGUAAAGUUCUUUUAUAUGGGAAGCGGUACCAUAAGAAAAAGCCCCGGCUAACUACGUGCCAGCAGCCGGGGUAAUUAC
rnacentral:rRNA from 1 species